GCGCGUUCCCCUCUGGAGGUUUUGAACCUUCAUGCUUGGCCGGACUUUAACAGUCCGGCCUUUUUUCUAUUGGCC
rnacentral:sRNA from 1 species